UGGAUCCCGGUUGUCCAUGCUGGUGGUGCAGCAGCAGACCAAGGCGGCCGCUCAAAUGAGGUUGUCAUAGCCUUCCUCCUCCUUCGCCCUGACAACCACCAGAAGGUGGGCGUGAAUUUGAUCAUCACUACUACAACAUGACAGAGGAUACGAUCUGCUGAGGAGGGUCAAGGAAGAUGAGAGCAGGAGGGAUGAGAAUCUUAAGUACAACUGCAAGUGUUCUUUCCUGGAGAUCUACAAUGAACAAAUUACAG